GGCUCCAGGAGGCCCCAGCUCCCCAUGCCCUGCAGCCCUGCCUGCCAGGCUUUUGUUGAGGCCCGGGCUCUGUCCUGCAGAACCUGUUCUGGGGACUUGGCCCAGGAGGUAUUUACUGUGAAGGGGGCCAGGCUCCAGCCACUUGGUUAGUUCCAGGUCACUGUGUUUGGGGACAUUCUCCUGCAGAUGGGGCCUUUGCUUUAAAAGCACGGUCGCCUGUGGUGGAAGGCGGGAGGGUGGGUCUCGCCUGGGAGGGUGUGUCCUCCCUUUGCCAAGGCCCUGGUGCUGGGAGCACUGUCACCUGCUGAGGUCCCAACUCACCCUGGAGGACCUCAGCCCAGGCCACCUUGCUCACCUUUCAAACACUCCUUGGCACCUCAGGGGCUUCCGGGGCCCAGCCUGAUGGUGGCGUGGCAUGAGGCAGUGUGGUGUGGGGCAGUGUGGCGUGGGGCAGCGUGGCAUGGGGGCAGUGUGAUGUGGGGGUGUGUGGUGUGGGGCAGUGUGAUGUGGGAGUGUGUGGUGUGGGGCAGUGUGGUAUCAGGCGGCGUGGUAUCAGGCAGCGUGGUGUCGGGCAGUGUGGUGUGGGGCUACGGGCGGUGUGGUAUCAGGCGACGUGGUAUCAAGCAGCGUGGUGUCGGGCAGCGUGGUGCGGGGCUGCCGUCCUGCCUGUGGGGCCGCAGUUCCAGCUCCGCUUCCUUGCAGGCCCUGAAGUACUCUUUCCAGACCCACGACCGCCUCUGCUUCGUCAUGGAGUACGCCAACGGGGGCGAGGUAGGGGCUGGGGCUGCGGGGGAUGGACUUCGCGGCCUGUGGGCCGCCCAUGGUGGGGCUGGUCCUUCCCGGAGCCUCGGCUACUCUCCAUGGCACCAGACGGUGCUCCCUGCUGGGUGGGUGGUGUGAUGCCUGCCCAGGCAGCUGCCUGCUGUGGGGUGACUUGUUCCUGCUGAGUUAGGGCUUCUGAGACUUUCCAGGCCCCCGUGCCCUCUGGUGGCUGGUCCCUUCCCUGUGCAAUGCCGAGACCCGGUCUGAGAAACCCAGCCCUGCAGGCCAUGGGGGCAGAGGCCCGAGCCACGGCUGUGCCUCAGGUUGCGCCUCCCGCAGCUGUUCUUCCACCUGUCCCGGGAGCGUGUGUUCUCCGAGGACCGGGCCCGCUUCUAUGGCGCUGAGAUCGUGUCAGCCCUGGACUACCUGCACUCGGAGAAGAACGUGGUGUACCGGGACCUCAAGGUGCGCUGGCGGGCAGGCAGGGGGCAGGGCCCUGGGGGCCUGGCGGCACUGACCUGAGGCACCUUUCCCCUAGCUGGAGAACCUCAUGCUGGACAAGGACGGGCACAUUAAGAUCACAGACUUCGGGCUGUGCAAGGAGGGGAUCAAGGACGGUGCCACCAUGAAGACCUUUUGUGGCACACCCGAGUACCUGGCCCCCGAGGUGCUGGAGGACAAUGACUACGGCCGUGCAGUGGACUGGUGGGGGCUGGGCGUGGUCAUGUACGAGAUGAUGUGCGGCCGCCUGCCCUUCUACAACCAGGACCAUGAGAAGCUUUUUGAGCUCAUCCUCAUGGAGGAGAUCCGCUUCCCGCGCACGCUUGGUCCCGAGGCCAAGUCCUUGCUUUCGGGGCUGCUCAAGAAGGACCCCAAGCAGAGGCUUGGCGGGGGCUCCGAGGACGCCAAGGAGAUCAUGCAGCAUCGCUUCUUUGCCGGUAUCGUGUGGCAGCACGUGUACGAGAAGAAGCUCAGCCCACCCUUCAAGCCCCAGGUCACAUCGGAGACUGACACCAGGUAUUUUGAUGAGGAGUUCACGGCCCAGAUGAUCACCAUCACACCACCUGACCAAGAUGACAGCAUGGAGUGUGUGGACAGCGAGCGCAGGCCCCACUUCCCCCAGUUCUCCUACUCGGCCAGCGGCACGGCCUGAGGCGGCGGUGGACUGCGCUGGACGAAAGCUUGGAGGGAUGGAGAGGCGGCCUCGUGCCAUGAUCUGUAUUUAAUGGUUUUUAUUUCUCGGGUGCAUUUGAGAGAAGCCACGCUGUCCUCUCGAGCCCAGAUGGAAAGACGUUUUUGUGCUGUGGGCAGCACCCUCCCCCGCAGCGGGGUAGGGAAGAAAACUAUCCUGCGGGUUUUAAUUUAUUUCAUCCAGUUUGUUCUCCGGGUGUGGCCUCAGCCCUCAGAACAAUCCGAUUCACGUAGGGAAAUGUUAAGGACUUCUGCAGCUAUGCGCGAUGUGGCAUUGGGGGGCCGGGCAGGUCCUGCCCAUGUGUCCCCUCACUCUGUCAGCCAGCCGCCCUGGGCUGUCUGUCACCAGCUAUCUGUCAUCUCUCUGGGGCCCUGGGCCUCAGUUCAACCUGGUGGCACCAGAUGCAACCUCACUAUGGCAUGCUGGCCGGCACCCUCUCCUGGGGGUGGCAGGCACACAGCAGCCCCCCAGCACUAAGGCCGUGUCUCUGAGGACGUCAUCGGAGGCUGGGCCCCUGGGAUGGGACCAGGGAUGGGGGAUGGGCCAGGGUUUACCCAGUGGGACAGAGGAGCAAGGUUUAAAUUUGUUAUUGUGUAUUAUGUUGUUCAAAUGCAUUUUGGGGGUUUUUAAUCUUUGUGACAGGAAAGCCCUCCCCCUUCCCCUUCUGUGUCACAGUUCUUGGUGACUGUCCCACCGGGAGCCUCCCCCUCAGAUGAUCUCUCCACGGUAGCACUUGACCUUUUCGACGCUUAACCUUUCCGCUGUCGCCCCAGGCCCUCCCUGACUCCCUGUGGGGGUGGCCAUCCCUGGGCCCCUCCACACCUCCUGGCCAGACGCUGCCGCUGCCGCUGCCGCUGCACCACGGCGUUUUUUUACAACAUUCAACUUUAGUAUUUUUACUAUUAUAAUAUGAAACCUUCCCUCCAAAUUCUUCAAUAAAAGUUGCUUUUC
rnacentral:sRNA from 1 species